GGAUGCCAGGCCAUACCGCCCGGAACGGGCCACGGCGACCCCGUCGGGGACCGCCCAGCCCAAGGCCGGCCUACCUAGCGACGGACAGCGAGAGGGAGGGGAGGAACUUGUCAACAAAUCUACUUCACAGCACAUCAAUGAAAGCAGACGGGCAGACGACAAUUACAGACGGUUGUAUUGGAUCAGGGUCAGAUCUGAAUUCUGCAGGUAGGUUUUCUGGGAUGACAGUUGAGGACAUCAGCACAUCAGAUGUUGGCCUGGACAGCUGUACCUACAGUACACCACACUGACCUCUGCUUUUGCAUGGAUGGCUGACUACUACCAUGUUCUGUGAAGGUAUUAUUAUAGCAAACAUUAGCACCUCUGACAGUGGAAUUUGUAGUUGUAAUGAAUAGUCACACAUGCAUAUUGGUAAAUUUGAAGUCACAGAGAAAAAGUUUUUUUUACUCAUUCUCUAACAAACACAACACAACGGUUACACCAUUUCAAAU